rnacentral:rRNA from 1 species
UGGGGAAUAUUGCACAAUGGGGGAAACCCUGAUGCAGCGACGCCGCGUGAACGAAGAAGGUAUUCGUAUCGUAAAGUUCUGUCCUAUGGGAAGAUAAUGACAAUACCAUAGAAGAAAGCUCCGGCUAAAUACGUGCCAGCAGCCGCGGUAAUACGUAUGGAGCGAGCGUUGUCCGGAAUUAUUGGGCGUAAAGGGUACGCAGGCGGUUUAAUAAGUCGAAUGUUAAAGAUCGGGGCUCAACCCCGCAAAGCAUUGGAAACUGAUAAACUUGAGUAGUGGAGAGGAAAGUGGAAUUCCUAGUGUAGUGGUGAAAUACGUAGAUAUUAGGAGGAAUACCAGUAGCGAAGGCGACUUUCUGGACACAAACUGACGCUGAGGUACGAAAGCGUGGGGAGCAAACAGG